UGAGUUGAUGAAUGGAAGUUAUUUAAUCUUGACCACAAUCUUGCAUAACAGGUAUUAUUAUCCUCAUUUAAAGAAGCUCAAAGAAGUUAAUUGGUUCCAAUCCCCAGGGCAGGCCAGGCCCUGGACCAUGGAAGGAUGCUACCCAUAUACAGAAUGGAUCUUCUGCAUGAAUUAACCCAAUCUAGAACCCCCAUCGCAGACAUGCUCCAAAGUGUUUCUCCUAGGUGACAGGUCCUGUCAAGUUGACAACAUUAAUAACCAGAAGAGUCAAGAGGGUAGAGAAGCACUUCUGACGAAAUGCCAUGUAGUACAGUCUCAAGGUGCAGGCGGUGGGAAAGUAGUUAUAAACAGAAGCAAGAGAGAGCAAUGGGAUGAGUUCUGGUAAAAGAUGGCUGUGAGGGGCUUAACGACUUAGGAAGAAAUGGAUGGCCAAGUUUGGAGGAGAAUCCUGGCAAGAUAUAGAAAAUAAAGUUUCUUUAUACAUCAGCCACUUUAUCAAAAUAAUAAAGAAAUUAGUAUUCUCAGGGUAGCAUAGAUGACAACCUGUUAUGCCAAUAUUUUGACAUCUGAAAACACUGAGAUGAUUAAUGUACAAGAGCAUAAAUGCCAGCCAGGCUCAGUUCUCAGAAGUCCUGUGCAGUACAUUUAGAGUGUCUUUUUUGGAUGCUGCCAGAGUCCUCAAGACAGGCCAUUAUGAACGUAUUUCUUCAUGUCUUGUGCUUCAUCAACACAUUCUAUUGUGUUCCAAGUGCUAAUUAAAAUUGUACACUGAUUGCCAAAGUAAAAGCAAAAGCACUUACGUUAUAACAAGUGUGGGAAUUAAAUGGAUCAAAACAGAGAAUCUCAUUCCAAGAAUGACAUAUGCUCCUCACCCUACCUGAGUAACUGGGGAGAGAGCUGACACUCAGACUGAAAAUCGGAUAGGGUAUCCCCCAAAACCAGGAAUUUAUAACUAUUUAGAAUCUUCUAGAAUUUCAAACUUUACAAAAGCAGCUUCAUGAGCCAUCACCCUCUUCUAUCUCUUCAGUGACUAAAAUGCUUUGAUUUGGAACUCAGGGAAAGGUGAAGCUAUGAUGUCACAAACACAUGGUUGUUAGCAAAACGUCUCUCAGUCCCUCUUGAAAAAUCCCAUUCCUAGUUUGUGGUUACCUUCCAGCCAUAUACAGACAAUCUUUAAAAGACUUAUCCCACAAAUGUUACCCUAACUUCUCAUGAAGAAAAAAGAAGCCAGAGGCUGGCAAAUUUUCCUAACUAGACAUUGGACUUGAUAUUGAGAGUAAGACUCAGAACACCACAGAUCCUUAAUAAAAACAAAGUAAUGCUCUGCUUGUCAUGCCCAGCUGCUGUGGCCCACAGUGCAGGCAAAUCCCAAACAUAUGAGUUUCAGAGAAUCCUGGGAAUAUUCUUCAGCCUGUGAAGGUUCCUCACAGGAACCUCCAGUUCCUCAUAGCGUUCCUCACCAUUCUUUUACUUACCCAGAGCACUACUUCACACAUUCUUUAGAAUUAUCUAUGCUCUGCAAGUUUGUCAAGUUCCACUCAAAGAGUGUUAUGACUUCCGCUCUGUCUCCUCCUGCCCAUUUGCCUACAUCUUCUGUGGUCCUUGAAUGCCUUCCUCCUCCCCGUUUUCUGCUUUGCAUGCUCAUCUUUGCAAAUCCAGUCAGCAACCACUCCCCUUAAGUCAUUCUGGUUCCUCUUAAAGUACAGUUAGUCAGUCUCUCCUUUGCACUGUCAUGACACCUUAUCCACUGCUCUCUUCCUGUCAGCACCCCUGCCCUGUGUCUGUGUGUAUGUCUGUGUGUGUCUGUCUGUGCUUACUACAUCCAUUCAUAGUAUAUACUCAUGGGUGAGAAGUGCUGGUCAUUGAUCUUGUCAGGCUAGGGCUUUAACAAUACCUAUUCAUAAAAGAACACUGUUCACUGGAAAAGAGCACUCCAGUCUGAUGACUGAAAGUAGGCCAUUCAAGAUAAAUACCAUAACGGACAAUGGUCCCAUACAAGAAUAUUAAAAGUGAAUGCAGAGUUAGCAUUUAGUGACAGCCUAAAUUAUUGCAGGUAGUAGCUAAAAAUCACACAGCUCUAAAAUAGAAGAGAAUUUCUUGAGAAACAAACGACUUUGUCCUUUUCUACCUGAUUUAGAACAUUAAGGGCAACAAGCACAUAGCAUGUCUCAUGACCUCCCACCAGGUCUCCCAACCUCAUAUUAGGAGUUUGCUCUGCCAUAUUCCAUCACUGGAAAUCCCAGCCUCUGUUCUAGUCUCAAUCAAUUAUUUUACCCACUUUCACACACACACACACACACACACACACACACACACACACACACACACACACCCACCCACCCAGGGAUUGUUUUGAGAAAACCAUCUGUCUGCUAAAACACAUGCUUGCAUGAGUGAGUCCACCUGUGUGGUACUCACAUUCCUGAGGACUGAUGGAUGCUCCCUCAGUAAAGCACUGUGCUUAACUAUUUGUGAUUAGCUACUUUUAAAGCAAAAAAAAAAAAAAAAAAAAAACAAAACAAAAACAAAAACAAAAACAAAAAAAAACCCAAAAAACAAAAACAAAAACAAACAAACAAAAACCCCUCCUAAUGCAAAGUUUACAAGAUAGAAGCCGAUUUUACAACCUACAGGACACCACUCUGCUAUUAGUCACACCAGUGGGCUCUUUCCAUGAGGCAUGAUUAGAUGUUAGAAAUGAACACAGGGCAAAGAAAAACAGUACGUUCGAUUACAUUCCAAAGUGAAUGGACUCUCUAUUUCAGUGCCUUUAACUCCAUAUGUGACUAACUUUUAUAGUAAGAUAAACCAGAUGCCAUGUUUUUAUCAAGUUUAUAAAAGUAAAAACCAAUAUUUAUAAAGCAGUAUUGUUUUGCAAAGGAGUAUCUAGCCAGCUGUCAGCUCAUACACACCAGCACCAUAAUAAACAUCAAAAUUAACUACCUAAAAAUAGUCUGCAGCACAUUCAUUUCUACUCACACAUUUGGUGACGCUACAUACUUAAUUAAAUAUAUAGAUGAAGGUCAGCUGAGCACUCAGAGGAGGACAAACGAUCGGUGUCUGGCUUCACCUUCAUUUUUUUCUGCAAUCAAAAAUUUAUGCCUGAAUUAUAUAUGCCACACUUUUAACCCAGCAUGCAUCUGUCCCUAGAGGACAUGUGUUCAAGAGAACAGGAAUUAAUGUUUGUAUCAUCUUAGGCAGAGCCUCACUGUGUGACUGAAGCCACAAUGUAUGUUUUGUUUUUAUUGCUGUUUUAAGAACUUAACCACUACACUGUUCUCUUCUGUGAGACUACAUUCCUAAGUUACAGUGUGAAAGCCAAGCAAGUUGUUUAUUUGAAAGUAGAACAAAUGAGAAAUGUCAGGAACAGAAGUAUUUUACCAAUAUAAGCUCAGUUCUGGAAAGGGAGAACUAGAACUGGAAAUCCGAACUCUGUUUCUCUGUUUUAGUCUCAAACAACUUAUUUUAUUUACACACACACACACACACACACACACACACACAAACACAAACACACACAAUAGAGAUUGUUUUGAGAAAACUAUUUGUCAGCUAAAACAUAUGCUUGUAAAACGACAAUUGGAGAUCAGAUGGAUUUCUAAAACCAGGAAGGCACAAACCAAAAGGAUUGUUUUGAAAAUGUGUAAUUUUAUUAUGUAUUUCUAAUGAUCUAUGACAAUCAAGGGAAAAGUGGCAGAUAACCAGUUGGGUUGCCGUAAGAAUAGGUGAUGUUGCCUAGAGUCUUACAAGAACUAGAGAGCACAAUCCCUUUUAGUACCCCAGAAGCCAGGGGAAAUGAACAGACAGGAUACAGGAAAACGGAUGAAUGGGCACAACAGAGACUCAGUUACAGGAGCAGAAUCACAGCCCGGAGAACUUUAAAAGGGAGAGCGGAAAACCAAUACUUAGUCACCAAACCCAUGAUACUUCAGUUAGAAACACUAGGGAAAGGUAAAAUAUUUAUCCAAGUAGACCGUAAAGUUCACUAGCUACCAACUAUUGUGUGAUGAGCGGCCGGGCACAGCAAUAAAUAGCUCACCACAGAGGAACAAAGCAGCAGCAGAAAGGCUAGCAACAGGGACUGGGAGACAUUAAGACCUCUCUGCCUUCUGAAUCUUAACAUGUGCUUGGUGGAAAUAAAAGGAAUGUUAAGAAAUAGCAAUGAAUAUAAGGGAAAAUAUGAGUUUCCCCCCAAAGCAUAAUGUUAAUUAAGUGAUUAAAAUAGUUGUAAACGUGUGACAUGACUUUUUUUUUCAAUUGUGAAGAGAAAUACCUUUUCACCUCAAAGAGAGAAAGCUGGAAUGAGGAACUUGGCAAGUCAUUUCCUAGGUCCCUUUCAUCAGUAUUUUACAAUUCUCCAGAAACUUACAUGUCUAUACAGAACAAAUACAUCUUGACUGAAACUUAAAAUACUGUUGGCUAACAGAACAUGGAUUAUGUUCACACUUUUGUCACACAAAUAGAACCUGCCAUUGAGGGAUAGUGAUACACGCCCUAAAUCCCAGCACUCAAGCAAGGCAGGCAGAUCUCUGAGUUCAAGGCCAGCCUGGUCUACAGAGAAAGUUCCAAGACAGCCAGGGCUAUACAGAGAAACCAUCUCAAGUAAGUAAAUAAGUAAAAUAAAUAAACAAAGCCUACCUUCCAGAACUCAGUAUCUUUGUGCAAAUAUCUGCUUUAGCAAAGGAUUAUUGAACAGAAUGGUCUGUAUAAUUGUCAGAGUUUGAAUUACGGUGAUCUCAGUCAAAUAUCCUCAUGCUAAACAAAUACUUAGGAAUAAAAUGUUGCUGGCUACUGUUAGGUUGUAAUGGGCACAUUACAAUCAAAGGCAUAUUCAGCGUGGUUAUUCUAAAAAUAAAUAGUUAAUUUCUAUGGAGCAAUCACAGAGAGGAUAAAGCAUCAUGAGACUCAGUCAUGGAGGUGGAAGAUUGCCAAAGAUAGAAGACAUCACUGAAACCCAGAGG
rnacentral:sRNA from 1 species